UCCGACCCAACCAGGAGCUGGAGAUUUCCCGGAAGGAACCGUAAAAGGCAACCGGACAGUAGCUCCUCAAAAGAGGCCACCGGGAAAGGAUAGUUUAAACCUUACUUAAGUCACCUAUCAAUGGCUUCAAGAAAAAAGAUUCAGAUAAGGACGAACAGGAGACCAAUACUGCUGUUACUGGUAAAACUAAUACCAUUAUGGUAUGUGCCUGGCAGGUCUACAAGCCCCAAUCAUUCAACCAGAUGGUACUGGAACUCAAUUCCUCGGCCUCGGACCUCGAAAGAAUACCGACUAUAUGAGGACCAUCGAAAGCAUACCGACUAUAUGAGGUUCUGUAUCAUCUGGGAAUAACUGAGCAAGAUUAUACCGGCUGUGCAGUCACGCUGAACCCGGUGCAGGUUUGCACCGCUGGCAGCAGCACAGAUUCUUCCCCG